AAACAAAAUCUCAAAACGUAAUUAAAACGUCCAUCUAAGAAUAGCAUUGAAGUUGGGUAUUUUAUUUUGAGUUUAAUUUCAUAUACAAAGCGGUGUCUCCACCCACUGUUUAUUUCAGGUGAGGUCGUUUUGUUUUCUUAAAAGUGAGAGACCUUGAUUAUCAGGCUUCCAGUAAGUCAUUCUUGUUCACGUUGUAUAAUAAGCAGGGGUACCUUCUCAAAAAGCUGUUGACGAGAACGCCAUAUAAACAUGACAUUCUUUACAUCACAGUUCGUCGUUUUUUGUUACCAGAAUGAUACAAUAGAAGUGACAAGGAUAGGUAUUGACCAGAACUGCCAACGUUCCACACGAAAACAAAAUCUCAAAACGUAAUUAAAAAGUCCAUCUGAGAAUAGCAUUGAAGUUGUUUAUUUUAUUUUGAGUUUGAUUUGAUAUACAAAACGGUGUCUCCACCCACUGUUUAUUUCAGGUAAGGUCGUUUUGUUUUCUUAAAAGUGCGAGACCUUGAUUAUCAGGCUUCCAGUAAGUCAUUCUUGUUCACGUUGUAUAAUAAGCAUGGGUACCUUCCCGAAAAGCUGUUGACGAGAACGCCAUAUAAACAUGACUUUCUUUACAUCACAGUUCGUCGUUUUUUGUUACCAGAAUGAUACAAUAGAAGUGACAAGAAUAGGUAUUGACCAGGACUGCCAACGUUUCACACGAAAACAAAAUCUCAAAAGGAUAUUAAAAAGUCCAUCCAAGAAUAGCAUUGAAGUUGGGUAUUUUAUUUUGAAUUUAAUUUCAUAUACAAAACCAUGUCUCCACCCACUGUUUAUUUCAGGUAAGGUCGUUUUGUUUUCUUAAAAGUGAGAGACCUUGAUUAUCAGGCUUCCAGUAAGUCAUUCUUGUUCACGUUGUAUAAUAAGCUUGGGUACCUUCCCAAAAAAACUGUUGACGAGAACGCCAUAUAAACAUGACAUUCUUUACAUCACAGUUCGUCGUUUUUUGUUACCAGAAUGAUACAAUAGAAGUGACAAGAAUAGGUAUUGGCCAGGACUGCCAACGUACCACACGAAAACAAAAUCUCAAAACGUAAUUAAAAAGUCCAUCUGAGAAUAGCAUUGAAGUUGGGUAUUUUAUUUUGAGUUUAAUUUGAUAUACAAAACGGUGUCUCCACCCACUGUUUAUUUCAGGUAAGGUCGUUUUGUUUUCUUAAAAGUGAGAGACCUUGAUUAUCAGGCUUCCAGUAAGUCAUUCUUGUUCACGUUGUAUAAUAAGCAUGGGUACCUUCCCGAAAAGCUGUUGACGAGAACGCCAUAUAAACAUGACUUUCUUUACAUCACAGUUCGUCGUUUUUGUGACGUGUGCAUCAGCGACAAUGCGUGAGUAAAAGAGAGUCCUAUACAAAACCAUCCUCAAAUGCUCAUCCCUAGGAUGCUGGAACCCACAAAUUCACAUCUGACAACAGCCUUGGACCCCAGUUAAGGACUACCAUGGGCCCACUGUAUCAAGUUAAGCUGGAGCAAGAUCACCGCAGACCUUCGCACUGCUACCCCUUGAUGACAUCGGCCUGAAAGUCAUUUUCACGAUCUUGGAAUUGAACCACUUCCUAAAGAAAGUUCAAACUCAAAAGAAACCUAGCAAUGGCAAAACAGAAACGCAAUGUUUUUGGAGUUAAAACGACUCUGAAACUAACAGUGAUAGAAAAAAAAAAGGAGAAGACGGCCCACCCUUGUCCAGCGUGAAUCGUCCCCGGCUACACUCCAACAAAAUAACAGAAUACACCAGAAACCUCGUAAAACUGGCGGAGAACCCACUGGGUAUACUGUUGGCCAAAGAAAGUCUUCUUCAAAGGAAUUGACAAAAUAUAAAUCAAACCGGACACCCUCCAUGAAAGUAAAGAAAAGGACACGUCAUCAGUUCAAUAACAAGAAAAAGCGAAAGAAAGAGAAAAAACUUUGGGAAGCUAAAAAAGAAAUACUAAAAAUAGAAAAACAGAGAAGAGAAGAAAGAACACAGCGGAAGCAAUCCCAGUUUUAUAUUGUACUAAAAGGAAUUGGUUUUUACCAUGAACUAAAAGGACAUUGCGUAUGGCAAAUUGAGUACAGAUAUAUUCAUGGGAAUAUCGAUAAAUAUAAUUUACAAGUUGUUUCAGAAGUAGUUUAAAUGCAUUCAAGAUAAUUUUCAAGAGCUUAAGAGUCAAGUUUAUGUAUAUAUAUUUUUGAAGAGAAAGAUACGAAUAUGUAUGAUGACAAGCAAGUUAUGUAUAGAAUAAAAUUACGAAUUUAUAUGCUCAUUGUGGCAAAACAUUUAGUCGAAUUAUCAUGCUUUUUCAAAAUUGGAUGACUGAUAUUUCAACUCGAGGCAAGAGUUUUCUCAAAGGAAGGACGGCUGUUAUAAAGGAAUUUUUUGUCUAUACAAAAGUCGUUUCUGACAGGUCAGUAAAUCUAUCCCCCAACACCAAAACAGAAAAAACAAACUCGCAACAAUACACCUUUCUGGUGUAGAGAAUUAAAGUUUAGUAUUCCCCGAGAGAUGGCUUGUUUUUAUUUUCAUUAUAAUAACCUCUCUCUCAAGUAUCAUAUACUUCAAUAAUCCUUUUACUCAUACCGCAAACAUCCUUGCAAGACAUCUUGCAGUGCAUCACCAGGCCGCCCUUCAAUCAAGCAUAGAAAGUUUACAAGCUUUUUUUCUCCAUAUAAGAAGGUGUUGAGAUGCAAGUUACCAUUUUACUUUUUUGUAAAGAAUAGUGACAUUGAUGUGAAGUAUUUUGAAAGUUACCUAGCUGUAGCAACGCCUUGGACACAUGAACUAGAUUGUGUUUGUGGGACUUUUGAGAUAUUGCUUCAAUUGGGUAUACUAUACUCGUAAGAUGGCAACCGACACAGCUGUGUUGUGACGUCACGACUUUUGGGAUCUUGCUUCGAUUGAAUAUAUUAUACAGUUGAAGCUCUCUUAAGCGACCACCUUGGGAACUGAGAAUUGUGGUCGUUAACGGAGCUGGUCUUUUACGAGAGCUUGCUCUCAUAAGCGACCACUGGGCGCCAAAAACUUGAACAAUAGGUGUUGGUCGCUUACGGGAGCUUAAUUAAAAUGCUGGAAUCUAAACGUCACCGUGAUAAUAACGCUGUAAUAUUUUGGUUUAUUGCUUGAUUUUAAGACAAGGUAUUUGACUUAUCA